rnacentral:misc_RNA from 1 species
AGCCCGUGCAUAUUGCAACACAUUAGACAUUGGAACGCGGAGAUCCUGAGCACCUAUAAGAAAGAUUGUCGGUGUUUUGACCUUUCCAAUGUGUGAUAUAGGGGACUUGCUGUGAAAUAGACCCAGGUCCUCAGCUGAAGGUGCUUCCGUGAAUUUAUUUUUCCCAUCAAUCCCAUAAGUUUCCACAUAGCACCAAUCAGGAAUAUCUGUUG